UCCAUGGUGGCUGAGAGGGUAAAGUGUCUGCCUACAAUGCAGGAGACCCAGGUUUGAUCCCUGGGUCAGGAA
rnacentral:tRNA from 1 species